rnacentral:tRNA from 1 species
CCCCGUAGUUCAAUGGAUAGAACGGUCGCCUCCUAAGCGACAAAUACGGGUUCGAUUCCUGUCGGGGGCCA